rnacentral:misc_RNA from 1 species
UCCGGCUUGUCACCGGCAGUUUCUUCAGAGUGCCCGGCAUUAUCCGCUGGCAACUGAAGGUGGGGGUUGCGCUCGUUGCGGGACUUAACCCAACAUCUCACGUCACGAGCUGACGACAGCCAUGCAGCACCUGUGUGUAGGUCCCGUAAGGGAAAGAAUCCAUCUCUGGAAACCGUCCUACCAUGUCAAACGCUGGUAAGGUUCUGCGCGUUGCUUCGAAUUAAACCACAUGCUCCACCGCUUGUGCAGGCCCCCGUCAAUUUCUUUGAGUUUUAACCUUGCGGCCGUACUCCCCGGGCGGAUGACUUAACGCGUUAGCUGCGCCACCGGAACGCUAAGCGCCCCGACAGCUAGUCAUCAUCGUUUACAGCGUGGACUAC